rnacentral:rRNA from 1 species
UACAGAGGGGGCAAGCGUUGUUCGGAAUUACUGGGCGUAAAGGGCGCGUAGGCGGCCGCCUAAGUCAGACGUGAAAUCCCUCGGCUCAACCGGGGAACUGCGUCUGAUACUGGGUGGCUUGAAUCCGGGAGAGGGAUGCGGAAUUCCAGGUGUAGCGGUGAAAUGCGUAGAUAUCGGGAGGAACACCGGUGGCGAAGGCGGCAUCCUGGACCGAGAUUGACGCUGAGGCGCGAAAGCCAGGGGAGCAAAC